UACGAAGGGGGCUAGCGUUAAUCGGAAUUACUGGGCGUAAAGCGCGCGUAGGCGGUUUAUUAAGUCAGAUGUGAAAUCCCCGGGCUUAACCUGGGAAUGGCAUUUGAGACUGGUAGGCUAGAGUGUGGUAGAGGUGAGUGGAAUUUCAGGUGUAGCGGUGAAAUGCGUAGAGAUCUGAAGGAACAUCAGUGGCGAAGGCGACUCACUGGGCCAUUACUGACGCUGUGGUGCGAAAGCGUGGGUAGCAAACAGG
rnacentral:misc_RNA from 1 species